ACCACCCUUCAGCUAACCAGCAGCAGCAGAUCGAGCCGGAGCUACGCCCCGCCCAUAGAAUUGAUGAUCCUUUCCGCUUGUGUGACCGGAACGCCUUGGCCCAUUGGUAUGGCCACUGGCUGCGACCGAUGCUAGCGAUUGCUGUCGCCAUGACGGCGAACCCCAGCCGGAGCCGGAGCUUUUGGUUAGAGAAAGGUGAGACGUUGCUUUAUCCGCUUCGGGGGGCUGUGUGGAGUCCGCGUGAAGGAAGCGUGGCUCUCCCUUUCGGUGGCAGGCACCACACAAGCGUCGCAUGAUCGAUCGGGUCCUGGUCUGGUCUGGCUGGCUGGCUCUGUUCACGUACACAGUCACAGUCUCGCACCUGCGCGGUAUGAUGGCCUGUUAUAUUUGGCUAAGCUUGAUAGAGUAUGUCAUGGCCGUCCCUGUCUGCUUUUUAUCCUAAUCUUUGCUAAAUUGUGCAGUAUCUUUUCUCCAUUUCUAGCGUUUCAUUCUGCUGACUGUAAGAGUUGUGCAGAGCACGAGAACAGAGCCGUCGAUCAAUAGCAGCACGCCAGCACCACCGAUUCUCAGUGAACAAUGGACAGCAGAACAUGCCCGUCAUGGCAGAAGUUGUUUUCACGCCUCCCGAUGACCCGAUGGACAUUGGACAGAGCUAAGUUUUAGCCGCGGUGUCGGGCGCAGGGCGGGCCACGGCACGCGCGAGACGACGACGGAGAGCACAUGCGCCCAUGCCCAUGCACGCAGGCCCAUCGCCUGCAGACGAGCGACGAGCAACGGCUACGCGCGGCGUGGCAGAACGGGACGAGGGGCGCGGGGCUGCGUGGCGGGCGCCCGUAGGCGCAGCGCAUGCGCGCGGCAUCCCAGC
rnacentral:lncRNA from 1 species